rnacentral:rRNA from 1 species
UGGGGAAUAUUGGACAAUGGGCGCAAGCCUGAUCCAGCAAUGCCGCGUGUGUGAAGAAGGCCUUCGGGUUGUAAAGCACUUUUAUCAGGAGCGAAACGCUGUCGGCUAAUACCCGGCGGAACUGACGGUACCUGAGGAAUAAGCACCGGCUAACUUCGUGCCAGCAGCCGCGGUAAUACGAAGGGUGCAAGCGUUAAUCGGAAUUACUGGGCGUAAAGCGUGCGUAGGCGGUUUCUUAAGUCUGCUGUGAAAUCCCCGGGCUCAACCUGGGAAUGGCAGUGGAUACUGGGAGGCUAGAGUGUGUCAGAGGGUGGUGGAAUUCCCGGUGUAGCGGUGAAAUGCGUAGAGAUCGGGAGGAACAUCAGUGGCGAAGGCGGCCACCUGGGACAACACUGACGCUGAGGCACGAAAGCGUGGGGGAGCAAACAGGAUUAGGAUACCCUGGUAGUCCACGCCCUAAACGAUGCGAACUGGAUGUUGGUCUCAACUCGGAGAUCAGUGUCGAAGCUAACGCGUUAAGUUCGCCG